UUAAAAAUGCAUUUACUUUCUUUUAAAAAAUCCGCAAUUAUUUUUUGGGCAACCAAUAGUUUGUCCAGCCUUAAACUAAAGCUUAAGGAAAUGAUGAUUGAAUUUUCAUUUGUUAAAAUGUUUGACCAGAUGUCAUCUUCAUCGUUGUGUGUCCUCUGACAUACAUAUGUGAGAAGUUGCAAUUUAACUCAACAAUUGUAGCCAGCCAACCAGCAUGACAACAAUAGCCAAAAGUGACAACAGUAAUUUAUUUAAUUUAGUUUUAUCAUUUCCCAUACGAAUUGGACAAUUUUUUGAAAGUUGCUGUUGUUUGUGUGCCAAGUAACAGCUGCACUUUUCAAUGAAAUCUAAUUGAUUUUUAGCACUUUUUGUUGUCGUGUAUUGUAGUCCGCACAACUUCUGUGAUAAGUGUUUUCAGGCUGGAGGCAAAAUUGUUCUUACAACUCUAGCAACUGGUUGGAGGCAACAUAAGAACUUUUUUUGUACGAAGAAGCCAAAAGAUUUUGCCAUGAAAUGUUGUUCUUUGCCAAAAAUGAUUGUUAAAUUUUGCAACUUCUAGCCUUAGGGAAUAUUGUGAUUUCUAUAGGGGGCUUCAAUGGUUCUUAUUGGUAAUUUAGUUAAUUGAUUUGAAGUUGCUGAUAAUUCCAAAAAAGCAAUGGACUUCGAAGUACCUAAGGCAGUUGCCAAAGAAGUAUAAAGAUGGCAGGGUAAGUCACUAACCAUUCAAUCAUUCAACCGUAUCAUUAAAUAAAGUCGACCUUCCUGAAUUCAUUUAUAAAUUAAAA
rnacentral:sRNA from 1 species